GUUUAGCCGACGAAAAACAUGUCGUCGGUUUUUUUCCCAGACUUUAGCCGACGAAACAAUUAAGAUAUUCGUCGGCUAAAGUCUGUAAUAAAAAAAAUUUUCCAGACUAUAGCCGACGAAAUAUAGUAUGUUUCGUCGGCUAAACCUUAUAAAAAAAUUUAAAAAAAUAACUAUAGCCGACGAAAUAUAGUCUGUUUCGUCGGCUAAACCUUAUAAAAAAUUUUAAAAAAUAACUAUAGCCGACGAAAUAUGCCAUAAUUCGUCGGCUAAACCUUAUAAAAAAAUUUUAAAAAUAACUAUAGCCGACGAAAUAUGCCAUAAUUCGUCGGCUAAACCUUAUAAAAAAAAAUUUAAAAAUACUAUAGCCGACGAAUAAACCUUUAAAUAUCGUCGGCUAAACCUUUAAAUAUCGUCGGCUAAAGUUGCUGGUUUUUGAAAAAAAAAACUGCAGAAACUUUCGGCCACCUCCAAUCACCACCAAAAUUUGACAUAAUCUUCUUCUCAACAUUUCGAACAACUUUCUAGAAGAAGUCAAAGCCCAAUUCUAAGCCUAAAUAGGUCAAUUGAAUCAAAAUAUAAAAAUCCCCAAUUUUAAAUCCUAAAAACUUCAAAUCUUCGAUUCUCCUCACACACACCAAAUCGAGCUACCAAAUUCUAGGGGAAUGUAGUACUAAUCAAACUCAACUUAUCCAUAUAUAGAACUCACCAAAUGGUGACCUGAGGAAGGAGAAAUUCGAUCGACACCGAAUCCGAACCGGCGGAGUUUUGGAGCUCGAUUUAUCUCUCACGGCGGCGCCACUCGAUGCACCACCUAUCCAGCAAUGAAGUAGAGACAACGGCGAAACUUUUGGGACAAGUGUGGCGGUCUCCAGUGGCUUGACGGCGGAGCUAGGCCGAGAAGAAAAUCUGGCAUGCGAAAUAGACUUCUUACCAUCCACCUUCGGUAAUAUAAAGAACUUUAGCCGACGAAAAUAAAGCUCUUUUGAAAAUUUUGAAAAUUUUGGUUGACCGCCAAAAAAUUUUGGUUGAAAAUUUUGAAAAUUUUAGACUUUAGCCGACGACUUUUCAUAUAUUUUCGUCGGCUAAAGUCCUUUGAAAAUUUUCCUCCAAAUUUGGUUUACCGCCCAAAAAUUUUUGACCUUAGCCGACAACUUUUUUAAUAUCUCGUUGGCAAAAGUCUAUAAAUUCACGAAAACGCUCAUAUCUCCCUCUAUAUUACGUAGUUUGAUCAAACCUUCCACACGAAAAAUUUUCACGUAGAUGAGACGCAACCGCCUAUAUAAAAAUUUUGAGACAUUUGCCUUCCGACGAUAGGGCUCCCCAUAGGGAAUAAUAACGGUAAAUAGGGUUGACCGCUACUAUCGGCACCGAGACUUUACCCGAUUUACGUGAUUUUUGAACCAUAGCCGUAUUUCACCAUUCUAAACACAUCUUAUUUCACGAGAUUUUUGAUAAUUUUGCUUCCUAUAUAGAGUUGGUUUACAAAGUUGUAUAACCUACCAAACAAGUUAUACAACAUUAGUAGACACGUUGUGAUUCCGAUGACUAAAAUUCACAAACCAAAAUUCGACCGUCAGAUAUGAUCAUUAUGACGAAAGAUGUCUAUGGUAAAAAAUUCAACUGNNNNNNNNNNNNNNNNNNNNCGAAAACGCUCAUAUCUCCCUCUAUAUUACGUGGUUUGGUCAAACCUUCCACACAAAAAACUCUCACGUAGAUGAGACGCAACUGCCCAUAUAAAAUUUUGAGACAUUUACCUUCCGACGAUAGGGCUCCCCAUAGGGAAUAAUAAUGGUAAAUAGUAGACACGUGAUUCCGAUGACUAAAAUUUACAAACCAAAAUUUGACCGUCCGAUAUGAUCAUUAUGACGAAAGAUGUCUAUGGUAAAAAAUUCAACUGGAUUCGACAACGUUAAGGGCUCGAUCGAAACGGUCAACUCUAAUCAGAAAUAAGAAAACUGCAUUUUGAAGCCCUAAACGGACUCGGAUGGCCAAAAAGGCCCAUACAUCAUGGCAUUAGUAAUGAGUUUGACUCGUAGGGCCGUUACGCUUCCGAAAAGGUAUCACAAUAGUCAAUCGGACACCAAAAACCAAAUCUGCAGCAUAGUGAAUAAUAAGGGUAAAUUGCAUUGACCGCAACUAUCGGCACCGAGACUUUACCAGAAUACCGUGAUUUUUCAACCGUAGACGUAUUUCACCAUUCUGGUCAUAUCUUAUUUCACGAUUUUUUUGCGUUUGAAGGUUCUACGUAUAAUUUUUUUUUUUCCAGAUGAGUUAUUGUCCAGAUCUGCAAAUAUAAGGCACUUUAGCCGACGAAAUUAUAUUUUUCGUCGGCUAAACUUUUAAAAAUUUCGUCGGCUAAAGUUCACAGACUAUAGCCGACGAAAAAAAUUAUUCAGACGACAAAAUUUUAAUUUCGUCGGCUAAAGUUGACCAUAGCCGACGAAAAUUUUUAAGCCGACGAAAAAAUAAUUCGUCGGCCUGGUUUUUUAUUUUCGUCGGCUAAAGUCUUUCUUCUGGUAGUGUCUGGUUGUGUUCUAGGGUGGCAGAAAUGGUAAAACGCCGUCGCUAGCAAUGGCCAGUCAGUUCUCAAUUUCUUAGAGCCGGUGUUCAUUCUCACAGAUCAAUCAGAGCUUUCAUUACUCAUUCAGUUGUUCUUCCUGGCUAAAUUAUCAGGUACUUAUUUUCACAACUCUAUGGAGUCAAUGGAGAAAUAAGUUUGUAACAGAAAAUUCCUUAAGCUUGUUACUUUAUUACUGUGACAUGAAAGGCAUAGAUACUUUAUUUGGUUACUAAAACACAAUGUUGUAUAAAAUAAUACAAAGUCACCAUGGAUUGAGUAAGUUUCUAAUGAAGCAUAUUGGUACAGGAUUUGCAUGGUGUCACAGGUCGAAGCAAGAAGGCUUAAAAAAGAUAGGAUCAGUGCAUUACUUAAAAAAGAUAGGAUCAGUGCAUUACCAAAUGCAGUUCUUAAUCACAUCCUUUCGUUCCUUAAAACCGAACAUGUUGUGAUGACCAUCUUUUUGUCUAAAAGAUGGAAGAACAUUUGGGCCUCUGUUCCUACUCUAGACUUCUGCGACCAAGAGUACCCUGAAAGUAUUCCUCAUUCGAGGUUUAUAGAUAAUGUACUAUUCUUCCGUGACUCAACAAACAUUCAUAAGUUUCGUCUCCAUUGCAUUCAUGUUAAGGAUUUUGAUCGUGUUUGUAGUUGGAUUGG
rnacentral:lncRNA from 1 species